CAUGGUGGAAAUCUGCAUUCCUGGAAGGGCUGGCUUCUGCUCUUCUAGUCCACGGAGCAUGGCCUAGACUUGGACAAAUCCCGAGUUAGGAAGACCAAUGGGAAGCAAGGGCACAAGCAGUGUUAAAGGUGUUCAUGAAAGCUUGCAUUGACACAGCAAGGAUGGAGAAGAGAGGACAGGGGAUUUGGUAUUGCUGAUCAAUGGAAAGGCCUGGAGACCCUUGCAGAGCUGUUACCAAAGAAUGUUUCACGGGGCAUCAGGAUGGCUCAGCACCAACCACAGGCAUUCUGAGGGUCACCUCUUGGAACUUGGAAAUUCUGGAAAGGGUACUCUGUAGCAGGCUGUUCUUUCAGGAUUUAACGUAAGUCUGAAGAUGGACAAAGCCGAGUCCUCUGAAAUGCUAGAAUGAUAAUUCUAGGUUGGUCUAACAGCUUGAAAAGGAUCGUGAAUACUAAAAACUCAAAAGCUCCAGCCGUAGGGAAACAAAGAAAGACAGAAAGAGGAACAGCUGGAAAAGCGCUCACUAUUAUCCAGAACAAACAGAGGUACUGUGGUUAGGCACGUACCAACCUAAUGGCCUUUGGAAUAAAUGCCCACACAGAGCCCCCACUCACUUGGCCCCGGGCUCAGGCCAUUUUU